AUUGAACGCUGGCGGCAGGCUUAACACAUGCAAGUCGAGCGAGCGGCGGACGGGUGAGUAAUGUCUGGGAAACUGCCUGAUGGAGGGGGAUAACUACGGGAAACUGUAGCUAAUACCGCGUACCAUAGGAUGAGCCCAAGUGGGAUUAGCUAGUAGGUGGGGUAAUGGCUCACCUAGGCGACGAUCCCUAGCUGGUCUGAGAGGAUGACCAGCCACACUGGAACUGAGACACGGUCCAGACUCCUACGGGAGGCAGCAGUGGGGAAUAUUGCACAAUGGGCGCAAGCCUGAUGCAGCCAUGCCGCGUGUAUGAAGAAGGCCUUCGGGGUGUAAAGUACUUUCAGUCGGGAGGCGUUACCGACAGAAGAAGCACCGGCUAACUCCGUGCCAGCAGCCGCGGUAAUUC
rnacentral:rRNA from 1 species